GCCGCCGCAUGGGCCUGGCGGGCCGGGGGGGGCUGGUGGCGGGCCCGGCGCUGCCGGAGCGGAGAACUACGAUGACCCCCACAAGACGCCCGCCUCCCCGGUGGUGCACAUUCGGGGGCUGAUCGACGGCGUCGUGGAGGCCGAUCUCGUGGAGGCCCUGCAGGAGUUUGGCCCCAUCAGCUACGUGGUGGUGAUGCCCAAGAAGAGACAAGCCUUGGUGGAGUUUGAGGACAUCCUCGGCGCCUGCAACGCUGUUAAUUACGCAGCCGACAACCAGAUCUACAUCGCCGGUCACCCCGCCUUCGUCAACUACUCCACCAGCCAGAAGAUAUCCCGCCCCGGGGACACGGACGAUUCCAGGGGGGUGAACAACGUCCUGCUCUUCACCAUCCUCAACCCCAUC